CUUGGGUACUCGAGUGGCGAACGGGUGAGUAACACGUGGGUGAUCUGCCCUGCACUUCGGGAUAAGCUUGGGAAACUGGGUCUAAUACCGGAUAGGAACCGUCUUUAGUGUGGUGGCUGGAAAGUUUUUUCGGUGCAAGAUGAGCUCGCGGCCUAUCAGCUCGUUGGUGGGGUAAUGGCCUACCAAGGCGUCGACGGGUAGCCGGCCUGAGAGGGUGUACGGCCACAUUGGGACUGAGAUACGGCCCAG
rnacentral:rRNA from 1 species